rnacentral:rRNA from 1 species
UGGGGAAUAUUGGACAAUGGGCGAAAGCCUGAUCCAGCCAUGCCGCGUGUGUGAAGAAGGUCUUCGGAUUGUAAAGCACUUUAAGUUGGGAGGAAGGUACUGGUAUUAAUACUACCAGCUACUGGACGUUACUCGCAGAAUAAGCACCGGCUAACUCUGUGCCAGCAGCCGCGGUAAUACAGAGGGUGCGAGCGUUAAUCGGAUUUACUGGGCGUAAAGCGUGCGUAGGCGGCUAAUUGAGUCGGAUGUGAAAUCCCCGAGCUUAACUUGGGAAUUGCAUUCGAUACUGGUUAGCUAGAGUGUGGGAGAGGAUGGUAGAAUUCCAGGUGUAGCGGUGAAAUGCGUAGAGAUCUGGAGGAAUACCGAUGGCGAAGGCAGCCAUCUGGCCUAACACUGACGCUGAGGUACGAAAGCAUGGGGAGCAAACAGG